CGGAGGGUGCAAGCGUUAUCCGGAUUCACUGGGUUUAAAGGGAGCGUAGGUGGGUUGGUAAGUCAGUGGUGAAAUCUCCGAGCUUAACUUGGAAACUGCCAUUGAUACUAUCAGUCUUGAAUAUUGUGGAGGUCAGCGGAAUAUGUCAUGUAGCGGUGAAAUGCUUAGAUAUGACAUAGAACACCAAUUGCGAAGGCAGCUGGCUACACAUAUAUUGACACUGAGGCUCGAAAGCGUGGGGAUCAAACAGGAUUAGAUACCCGUGGUAGUCCACGCCCUAAACUAUGGAUACUCGACAUACGCGAUACACUGUGUGUGUCUGAGCGAAAGCAUUAAGUAUCCCACCUGGGAAGUACGAGUCGCAAGAUUG
rnacentral:rRNA from 1 species